rnacentral:rRNA from 1 species
CGGCGGACGGGUGAGUAACACGUGGGCAAUCUGCCCGAAAGUGGGGAAUACCCCAGGGAAACUUGGGCUAAUACCGCAUGACAUCCCGACCUCGAGAGAGGAUGGAAUCAAAGGGGGGCCGCAAGGUCUCCCGCUUUCGGAGGAGCCCGCGCCCGAUUAGCUAGUUGGCGGGGUAAUGGCCCACCAAGGCGACGAUCGGUAGCCGGCCUGAGAGGGUGAUCGGCCACACCGGAACUGAGACACGGUCCGG